rnacentral:rRNA from 1 species
CCUACGGGUGGCAGCAGUGGGGAAUAUUGCACAAUGGGGGAAACCCUGAUGCAGCGACGCCGCGUGAGUGAAGAAGUAAUUCGUUAUGUAAAGCUCUAUCAGCAGGGCAGAAAAUGACGGUACCUGAGUAAUAAUCCCCGUCUAACUACGGGCCAGCAGCCGCGGUACUACGUAGGUGGCAAGCGUUAUCCGGAUUUACUGGGUGUAAAGGGAGCGUAGACGGCAGUGCAAGUCUGGAGUGAAAGGCGGGGGAUCAACCCCAGGACUGCUCUGGAUACUGUACGGCUGGAGUGCAGGAGAGGUAAGUGGAAUGCCUAGUGUAGCGGUGAAAUGCGGAGAUAUUAGGAGGAACACCAGUGGCGAAGGCGGCUUACUGGACUGUAACUGACGUUGAGGCUCGAAAGCGUGGGGAGCAAACAGGAUUAGAUACCCUGGUAGUC